UAUUACAUCAAGGCCUACAUUAUAGUCGCAGAUGGGUGAAUAGGAUUGCUCCGAAACGUUUGCCGCCUACAAUUUGGAGGGGUUCGAGGAACCCACUGAAGGCCAAGAUUUCCGUAAUCC